rnacentral:rRNA from 1 species
CACCGCGGUUAUACGAGAGACCCAAGUUGAUAAACCCCGGCGUAAAGCGUGGUUAGGGAACCUCCACACUAAAGUCGAACAUCCUCAAAGCCGUUAUACGCAUCCGAGGCCCUGAAGAACCACCACCAAAGUGACUUUAAUACACCUGACUCCACGAGAGCUAAGACA